GUCCAUGCCGUAAACGUUGGGCGCUAGGUGUGGGGCUCAUUCCACGAGUUCCGUGCCGCAGCUAACGCAUUAAGCGCCCCGCCUGGGGAGUACGGCCGCAAGGCUAAAACUCAAAGGAAUUGACGGGGGCCCGCACAAGCGGCGGAGCAUGCGGAUUAAUUCGAUGCAACGCGAAGAACCUUACCAAGGCUUGACAUACAGGGAAAACUGUCAGAGAUGGCAGGUCCGCAAGGGCCCUGUACAGGUGGUGCAUGGUUGUCGU
rnacentral:rRNA from 1 species